rnacentral:lncRNA from 1 species
UUUUAAUUACUGAUUACCUUGUUAAAUUGAUCUGCAGGAAGAAAAUCAGACAUUAAAAAAUGAGUGGAGAUGUAAUGCCAUGUUAUCUAUCAUAAAUUUAGGUCCUGAAUGUGUAGAAAACAGCUAUGGACAUGGGCCACAGUUUAGAGAAGAGGAGUUCAAUGCGACUACAAAUCUCAGAAGUUGUCAAAGCGGAGGCUCUAUUGCCGUCAGCAGAUAAGAGUUUACAGUUUCAGGACAAAUAUAAGGUUCAACAACCAUUUGGCAAGCCAUACGUUGAUCGACAUUGUGAAUUGAGACGAGGUACAAGUAUUGAGCAUGAGAUCCAAUCUAAUUCUUCAGAGA